AGGACGAACGCUGGCGGCGUGCUUAACACAUGCAAGUCGAACGAUGAUGCCCAGCUUGCUGGGCGGAUUAGUGGCGAACGGGUGAGUAACACGUGAGUAACCUGCCCUUCACUCUGGGAUAACUCCGGGAAACCGGUGCUAAUACUGGAUAUGACCUUGGCCCGCAUGGGCAUGAGGUGGAAAGUUUUUCGGUGGAGGAUGGACUCGCGGCCUAUCAGCUUGUUGGUGAGGUAAUGGCUCACCAAGGCGAUGACGGGUA
rnacentral:rRNA from 1 species